rnacentral:rRNA from 1 species
GACGAACGCUGGCGGCGUGCUUAACACAUGCAAGUGGAGCGACGAACCAGGGCUUGCCCUGGGGCAGAGCCGCGAACGGGUGAGUAUCACGUGGGUAACGUACCCCGAUGACUGGGACAACCCGGGGAAACCCGGGCUAAUACCGGAUGUGCCCCCUCACAUCAGUGAGGUGUGUAAAGGAAGCUUCGGCCUCCGCAUCGGGAUCGGCCUGCGGCCCAUUAGCUUGUUGGUGAGGUAACGGCUCACCAAGGCUGCGAUGGGUAGCUGGUCUGAGAGGACGAUCAGCCACACUGGGACUGAGACACGGCCCAGACUCCUACGGGAGGCAG